rnacentral:rRNA from 1 species
UACGUAGGGGGCUAGCGUUGUCCGGAAUCAUUGGGCGUAAAGCGCGCGUAGGCGGCCCGGUAAGUCCGCUGUGAAAGUCAAAGGCUCAACCUUUGAAUGUCAGCGGAUACUGCCGGGCUAGAGUCCGGAAGAGGCGAGUGGAAUCCUGGUGUAGCGGUGGAAUGCGCAGAUAUCAGGAGGAACACCAACGGCGAAGGCAGCUCGCUGGGACGGUACUGACGCUGAGGCGCGAAAGCGUGGGGAGCGAACAGG